GUACAGGAAAAAUUAAUACAUUUGACGUACAGCUAGUAGGUUAGCUUUGAUAAAUUAUACUACUGAGGAUUCUGAAAAGUUGUGAAAACAGACAUUAAGAUGCAGUUAAAAGGGAGGACUAAAAUGAAGCCUUGAAAACCACUAGGCUGCAGUCACAGUGAAGACCAGCAAAGUGGCAGCCAACACAGUGGCAGAACAGUGUUGGAGCUCUUCCAAAGCUCCAUUUCCAGAGAACUGUCAGCAUUUGACCUGUCUGGUGAUCCCCUAGAAGACCUCACUUGCAAAACCGUUUUUAUUUGACCUCACUCGGAGCUCAUCCAAUAUGAAAAGCCUUUCUCCUGGGAGUGAUUUGCGGCCUGUCAUACUUAAGGCAGGUUGGAAGAGAAGAUUGACAUCCCAACAGUCUCCUUAUCUCUAUUUGAGAGGACACAACUGCCUGGGGUUUUCUGAAUUCAUAUGUCAUAAAUGCUGCAAGAUUACUGAGAAAUAGGUGCUGAAAAUUGCAAGUAAUUAUGAGCAAUAUAGACACAACCUUCUCUGAUCAAUUACUCCUUAUAGAAAAAGAAAUUCUUCAAAGUGGAUCAAAUAAUUGUUAGACCCCACUAGAAUUGAUCCCUCUUUCCUUGGACUUAUAUUACAUUUUCU
rnacentral:lncRNA from 1 species